rnacentral:rRNA from 1 species
GAUGAACGCUAGCGGCAGGCUUAAUACAUGCAAGUCGUACGGGAUCCGAGGUAGCAAUACUUUGGUGAGAGUGGCGCACGGGUGCGUAACACGUAUGCAACCUACCUAUAACCGGGACACAACCCACCGAAAGGUGAGCUAAUAUCCCAUAACACUGCGAGAUGGCAUCAUUUUGCAGUUAAAACUCCGGUGGUUACAGAUGGGCAUGCGCGACAUUAGCUAGUUGGUGAGGUAACGGCCCACCAAGGCUACGAUGUCUAGGGGUUCUGAGAGGAUUAUCCCCCACACUGGUACUGAGACACGGACCAGACUCCUACGGGAGGCAGCAGUAAGGAAUAUUGGUCAAUGGGCGCAAGCCUGAACCAGCCAUGCCGCGUGAAGGAUGACGGCCCUAUGGGUUGUAAACUUCUUUUGUACGGGAAAAAACCACAGGUCGAGUAUCUGUGCUGAUGGUACCGUAAGAAUAAGCAUCGGCUAACUCCGUG